rnacentral:rRNA from 1 species
GAUGAACGCUGGCGGCGUGCCUAAUACAUGCAAGUCGAGCGAACGGACGAGAAGCUUGCUUCUCUGAUGUUAGCGGCGGACGGGUGAGUAACACGUGGAUAACCUACCUAUAAGACUGGGAUAACUUCGGGAAACCGGAGCUAAUACCGGAUGAUAUUUUGAACCGCAUGGUUCAAAAGUGAAAGACGGUCUUGCUGUCACUUAUAGAUGGAUCCGCGCUGCAUUAGCUAGUUGGUAAGGUAACGGCCUACCAAGGCAACGAUGCAUAGCCGACCUGAGAGGGUGAUCGGCCACACUGGAACUGAGACACGGUCCAGACUCCUACGGGAGGCAGCAGUAGGGAAUCUUCCGCAAUGGGCGAAAGCCUGACGGAGCAACGCCGCGCGAGUGAUGAAGGUCUUCGGAUCGUAAAACUCUGUUAUUAGGGAAGAACAUAUGUGUAAGUAACUGUGCACAUCUUGACGGUACCUAAUCAGAAAGCCACGGCUAACUACGUG